GAUGAACGCUGGCGGCGUGCCUAAUACAUGCAAGUCGAGCGAACGGACGAGAAGCUUGCUUCUCUGAUGUUAGCGGCGGACGGGUGAGUAAUACGUGGAUAACCUACCUAUAAGACUGGGAUAACUUCGGGAAACCGGAGCUAAUACCGGAUAAUAUUUUGAACCGCAUGGUUCAAAAGUGAAAGACGGUCUUGCUGUCACUUAUAGGUGGAUCCGCGCUGCAUUAGCUAGUUGGUAAGGUAACGGCUUACCAAGGCAACGAUGCAUAGCCGACCUGAGAGGGUGAUCGGCCACACUGGAACUGAGACACGGUCCAGACUCCUACGGGAGGCAGCAGUAGGGAAUCUUCCGCAAUGGGCGAAAGCCUGACGGAGCAACGCCGCGUGAGUGAUGAAGGUCUUCGGAUCGUAAAACUCUGUUAUUAGGGAAGAACAUAUGUGUAAGUAACUGUGCACAUCUUGACGGUACCUAAUCAGAAAGCCACGGCUAACUACGUG
rnacentral:rRNA from 1 species